UAGACAACUGGCCUCCAUUAAGUCAUUUCAUUUCCCAUCACCGACACAGCCUUAAUGGUAGCAGAUCUCCUCAUAUCUUUUAGUCUUCUGCUACAUUUUCAAACCACUCAUUCUCUUUCAGUCUAGAUGCCUCGGACGCUUCCUCUCCAUAGCACAACGGACGGAUCUGGGAAUAUCUCCGACCAGUUGCAAUAUUGGAAUGUAUGACUGACUUGGAGGCCAAUAUUUUCCCCUCCUCAUUUCGAACAACUAGCCCCAAAACAGAUCUUAAGAGUUGUUGAUCAAAAGCCGCAUCAAAGUAAAUCGUCACAGUCGGUCUUCUUUUGUCAGACUUAGGAACCAUGCUAGUGUCUAUGAUUAUCCAAAGCCCACAACAAAAAAGGCGACUCUGUUCUUCUGUCCCUUAACUGAAUACCCAGGGCAGCUACGGAAGACAUGGUAGUAGUCCUCCUCCUCCUGUUGACACAGGGAACAACGAGCAUCAGAAACAACUCGUCUUUGCUUCAGAUUAGCAAAAGUUGGGAUGUAAUUCCAAGAUAUCCUUCAGAUGGUAACUUUAACUUUCGAGGGCAUCUGUAAACUCCAUAGCUUCUUGAAAAAGCUUUUAGUUUCAGUCUGUAUAAUAAUAGGAUUUAGAGUAGCCUCCUGUAAUAGUUUGUAGGCGGUACGGACAGAAAAAUUACCCGAAGGCUCUCUUUUUCAGACUUGAAAGUCUUCAUGUGCUACACUUGCCAAAGGAAUCUACUUGAUCUUUCUAGCUAAAUCCGCUCUGAAGGUAUUGUCAAUUAAGUCUACUUUCCAUGUUCUAUUAACUUCAUCGAUCAGAUCCGAUACUAAUACGAAAUUAUCAUU